rnacentral:rRNA from 1 species
CAAUAGCGUAUAUUUAAGUUGUUGCAGUUAAAAAGCUCGUAGUUGGAUUUCGGGUGGGACGCAGCGGUCUCGCAUUGCGUUUGUACUGCUGCAGCCCUCCUUCUUGCCGGGGGCGGCCUCUCGGACUUCACUGUCUGGGGGUCAGAAUCGGCGAUGUUACUUUGAGUAAAUUAGAGUGUUCAAAGCAAGCUUACGCUCUGAAUAUAAUAGCAUGGGAUAACACGACAGGACUCUGGCCUAUCGUGUUGGUCUAUAGGACCAGAGUAAUGAUUAAGAGGGACAGUCGGGGGCAUUCGUAUUCCGUUGUCAGAGGUGAAAUUCUUGGACUUACGGAAGACGAACAUCUGCGAAAGCAUUUGCCAAGGAUGUUUUCAUUGA